rnacentral:lncRNA from 1 species
AAAGAUUAUUCAAUACAGAAAAUUUCCUUUAUACUCGUUCUUCUUUCUUCAAUUAUGACAUGGUAUCAGAGUAGGUCUGAUCUACUCUAAUAUUCUCUUUUAUUUUUCACAAAUCAACAUUCUUCAAAUCUAGCUAUUCAAUAUUAAAAUGGCUACUGAAGGUCAAACCACUUAUGCAGUUAAUUCUGCUUCUUCCACUGCUGAUGUAUCAGUUGCAGCAGGUAUUACUACUCUGGAGUAGUUGAUUCUGGUCACCCAUACUACCUCCAUCUUUCAGAUUACCCAGGGAUGAACCUCGUUUCUUCGGUCUUCGAUGGAAAAGGAUAUGGAGGUUGGAGAAGAGCUGUGGUCAUAGCUCUUUCAGCUAAGAACAAGCUAGGAUUCAUUGAUGGAUCCUUAGUUGUUCCAAGUGUUGAAUCUGGUCUUCAAAAGGUCUGGGCUCGUUGCAAUGACAUGGUCCUUUCUUGGCUUCUCAACUCACUCUCCAAGGAAAUAGCAGAGAGUGUUUUGUACUCACAAAGUGCAAAUGAUCUUUGGAGUGACCUGGAAGACAGAUUUGGUCAGACAAAUGGAGCAAAAUUAUUUCAACAGGGUCUGGGCUCGUUGCAAUGACAUAGUCCUUUCUUGGCUUCUCAACUCACUCUCCAAGGAAAUAGCAGAGAGUGUUUUGUACUCACAAAGUGCAAAGGAUCUUUGGAGUGACCUGGAAGACAGAUUUGGUCAGACAAAUGGAGCAAAAUUAUUUCAAUUACAAAAGGAAUUAAGUGCUGUUGUGCAAGGAAAUUCCAGUGUAUCAGGUUAUUUCACAAAGAUGAAAAGCCUAUGGGAUGAACUAGAUGCACUGAACACUUUUUCUUCUUGUGUUUGUGAGUGUGAAUGUGGUGCUAAGACAAAGAAUUUUAAGGCUCAUCACGAUGAAAGGUUGCUUCAGUUCUUAAUGGGUCUAAAUGACACCUUCAUAGGAGUAAGAAGUAAUAUCCUUUUGUCAUCUCCCCUUCCUUCGAUUGGACAAGAAUAUUCCUUGGUUAUCCAAAAUUAAAAACAGAGGGAAAUUUAUGCCACACCUGGCUAUCGAGGAGAUGCUGCAUUUUUCAUUGCAGCUAAUCAUUCAGGAGGUGUGAAGAAAUACACCAAUUACAAGGGUCAGAAAGGAGGUUUUGAGGGAAAGAAGGUUUCCAGCAUAUGUCAUUAUUGCAAGAAGCCAGGACAUAACAUUGAAAAGUACUAUAGGAUUUAUGGGUUUCCUGCAUAUUUCAAGUUCACGAAACAGAAGAAAUUUCAAGGUACAUCACAAGUAAGCAAUGUUUUCAGUUCAGGACAAAGCAGUGAGCAAGGAACCAUGGAUGGUCCAGAUAUGCAGACACUUACUAAGGAAAAUGUGACUCAUCUAUUACAGCUCCUUCAGCAAGUCAACAUGGGACAAUAAAAUGCUUCUAUUCCUGAUGCAUGUGCAAGUGUGGACUGUGCUGGUAUAGCUAAAUUCUUUAACUCAUAUGCUUGUUUUAUGCAAAUAGAUGAAAAAUCUUGGAUAAUGGACAGUGGUGCAUCUGAGCACAUGACCUUCAACAAAGAGUUUCUUUGUGAUUUCAAACCUCUGCCUCAGCCUUUGAUGGUCACCCUGCCUAAUUCCCAUAGAGUCAAAGUAACACAUUCUAGUUCUCUUUCAUUUUUUCCUAACUUAAUAUUACACAAUGUGCUUUAUAUUCCUUCCUUUCAAUUUAAUCUAAUGUCUGUACAUAAGUUGUGCAAAUAUUUCAAACAAUAUGUGCUUUUCACUCCUACUUCUUGUUUUCUACUGCAGGGCCCUUCACUGAAGAGCCCUCUGGAGAUUGGUAAGGAGAAAAGAGGACUCUAUACCAUCAAGCCAAAUGUUCCAGCACCUACUUCCAAGAUUUUUCGUAAGUCCAAUAGUUUUUCAGUUUUCAAAAUUAGGGCAGCAUGUGUUCCUAAGUUUAAUUCUUGUUUCAGUUUUCCAAUUCAAAUGUAAAAGGCAGAUUAUGGCACUAUAGGUUGGGCCAUAUGCCAUUAAGC